CCUAUAGAUACACAGGUAAGUGCCCUAUAGAUACACAGGUAAGUGCCCUAUAGAUACACAGGUAAGUGACCUAUAGAUACACAGGUAAGUGACCUAUAGAUACACAGGUAAGUGCCCUAUAGAUACACAGGUAAGUGCCCUAUAGAUACACAGGUAAGUGCCCUAUAGAUACAC